CAUAAUGCCCGGAUAAGUCAACUAACAUAGUUAUAGAUCUCGAGAAAAGAAAACAAGCACUGAGCCAUUGACAAUAGAAAAAGAAAAAUGUUCCCUCCCGAAUAUUUUCCAACGAUUCUGUUGUUGGCUUUGCUCUUUUUCAAUUUGUUUGAAAUAUCUUUGAUGGAAACUGUUAUGAAAUGGGCAUAGACAGUUUUCUUCAGAAGCUUCUCUUUGAAAAAAAAUACAACAAUUGGAAUAUAAUGUGUCAAUAAUAAUCUUAAUUAAGCCCGCGGAUUUUGAAAAAUUUAGAGAAGACGACACAGCGUUCGGAAUUGACUCACCGAUAAAUUUUCCGUCCAUAUCUGGGGCCACUGUAAUCGAGCCAUUAGAGACCAAAAAAAGUACCUGCGCCAUGGAAGAAUUGAACGCUAAUGAGGAGAUUCGAAGGACAAUAAACCCUAGGAGGAAGAAGGAUUUGCGUGGUCCCGUACCCUUCAUUAUCAUCAUCUGCGGCACUCUCGUUUACUACCACUGUGUUUAUCGGAAUGCCAGUAUCGUCUCUCUCGUCUCUGACGUCUUUACUGUAAUCCUUUGCUCCCUCGCCAUUCUCGGACUCCUGUAUCGCCAGAUGAACAUUUCGGUUCCUGUGGAUCCACUAGAAUGGCAGAUCUCACAGAACACUGCGAAUCGCGUCCUUGCCUGCAUUGCUAAUACUAUCGGUGCUGCUGAGUCUGUUCUCCGCGUUUCUGCUACUGGACAUGAUAAGCGCUUGUUCGUUAAGGUUGUGGUUACUCUUUAUGUGCUAUCAGUUUUGGGAAGGAUAGCAUCAGGCGUUACUGUUGCCUAUGCCGAACCUGAUCGCCAUGUCAAACUGUACAAAUUUGCACCAAAUCCUGCAUCUAUUAGCCAUCCAGUAGACCAAUACCAUUCACAGCUGAGUGAUAAGAAAAUAAUGGAGGGCAAGUGACUUGAAGAAGGACCUGGUACCAUGGACUUUCUAUUUGGAAAUCAGCCGUGUCAGUGACAUUCUAAGCAAUGAUGCAAACUAAUUAUGAAGCUGCUAAUAAAUUCAAUCACAGUCCUUGGCCAAGAAAAGGUGGUCACAUUUGCAAGUUAGCAGGUUCCAAAAUCCUAACAUCCAAAACUGCAGAAAAUACUUGCAGUAUCUAAAGGUCUAUCUUCACAUACCUGAUGAAACAUUGCCAUGCCACACUCACAGAGACGAGAAUUCAAUUCAGCAUCGAGC